AUGAACGCUGGCGGCAUGCCUAAGACAUGCAAGUCGAACGAGAUGGCCCAGUGAAGGUUGAGUGCUUGCACGAGACUGAAUCUGGAUUCCCAUCUAGUGGCGGACGGGUGAGUAACGCGUGGGUAACCUGCCUUAUACAGGGGGAUAACAGUUGGAAACGACUGCUAAUACCGCAUAAGCGCACGGUAUCGCAUGAUACAGUGUGAAAAACUCCGGUGGUAUAAGAUGGACCCGCGUCUGAUUAGCUUGUUGGUGAGGUAACGGCCCACCAAGGCGACGAUCAGUAGCCGGCCUGAGAGGGUGAACGGCCACAUUGGGACUGAGACACGGCCCAAACUCCUACGGGAGGCAGCAGUGGGGAAUAUUGCACAAUGGGGGAAACCCUGAUGCAGCGACGCCGCGUGAGUGAAGAAGUAUUUCGGUAUGUAAAGCUCUAUCAGCAGGGAAGAAAAUGACGGUACCUGACUAAGAAGCCCCGGCUAACUACGUG
rnacentral:rRNA from 1 species